rnacentral:rRNA from 1 species
AAGGAGGUCCGCCUGCCCUGUGACUAUAUGUUUAACGGCCGCGGUAUUUUAACCGUGCAAAGGUAGCGUAAUCACUUGUCUUUUAAAUGAAGACCCGUAUGAAUGGCAUCACGAGGGUUUUACUGUCUCCUUUUUCCAGUCAAUGAAAUUGAUCUCCCCGUGCAGAAGCGGGGAUAACGACAUAAGACGAGAAGACCCUGUGAAGCUUAAAGACGAAAAGCAGACCAAACUAAACACCCCCAAACAAAAGAACUAAAGCACUGGACCCUGCCCUAAUGUCUUCGGUUGGGGCGACCACGGAGAAACAAAAAACCCCCACGUGGACUAGGAGUACAUUUUUCCUCUUCCCUCUCCUACAACCUAGAGCAACCCCUCAAAGUAACAAAACCUUUGACCAAACAUGAUCCGGCCACGCCGAUUAACGAACCAAGUUACUCCAGGGAUAACAGCGCUAUCCCCUUUUAGAGCCCAUAUCGACAAGGGGGUUUACGACCUCGAUGUUGGAUCAGGACAUCCUAAUGGUGCAGCCGCUAUUAAGGGUUCGUUUGUUCAACGAUUAAAGUCCUACGUGAUCUGAUUCC